GUGAUCGGUGAAACAGAAAUCAUUUAUUGGCCAAUAGCCUGUCAUUCACAGCUUUCCCGACUCCAUUCUGUUAGUUUUUCCCGGUUGCCCUGCAGCAUCCAGCUUUUGUGAAUAGUAACAGCGUCAGAGGUGCCUUUUAUUUUGAUACUUCCUUUCAGCUGGUAACAGAGGUACUUCUGCAGUGCGUUGUGGGUAGUGGCAUAGCAAAGCUCAUUUCCCGUGACAGACGGUUCUGGCUGUGGCCUUUUGAACGGAGGGAUGUUCCGCCACCUGAACAGGUGCACAGCCCCCCCCCGGAGCUUGUGACCGCGAACCGUGAGAGCUGCUGAAGGAUUAAGGCGGUAUGUAAAAACAGACGCCGGGGAGAUGCGUGGUACGCUUGUAUCAGUGUGCACAUGGUUCGCAUUUUCCCCAAAUCCUACCGUGCUGUCUCUCAGACGUACCCAGGGACGGGAGAGGCCUCAGACGGUUGGCCCAGGCACGGAAAUCCCGAUUUAGAUGCGACAGGGAGAUGAACCCGGACCGUAUCUGGGUUUGCGGGGCAAUCUGUAUCAAAUCAGGCCCCCUCUCUCUCUUAUUAAAGAUUUUAAGCGCAUGUUGCCUUUGGAAUUUUUCAAAGGCUUCUUUGGGAAGUUGUUACGUUGGAAAUUGAAAUAACCGACCCAGACGAAGGGGACACAACGCCAUCUGUCUAAACAGAAGAGGGCUUAGUGUGGAUGUCUCCAGGCGAAACGCUAACUAGCUCAUACCUCUCCUUCUGAUUGUUUCUUUGUGUCUUGUUAUUGUAAGCUGCUGAAUAAAUACAAUAUAAUUUG